rnacentral:rRNA from 1 species
UACAGAGGGCUCAAGCGUUGUUCGGAUUCAUUGGGCGUAAAGGGUGCGCAGGCGGCGCGGUAAGUCGGGUGUGAAAUCUCGGAGCUUAACUCCGAAACUGCAUUCGAUACUGCCGUGCUUGAGGACUGGAGAGGAGACUGGAAUUUACGGUGUAGCGGUGAAAUGCGUAGAUAUCGUAAGGAAGACCAGUGGCGAAGGCGGGUCUCUGGACAGUGCCUGACGCUGAGGCACGAAGGCCAGGGGAGCAAACGGG